GAGGCUUUAGCUUAAUUAAAGCAUUUGUCUUGCAUACAGAAGAUGUGGGUUAAAUGCCCGUAAGUCUUA
rnacentral:tRNA from 1 species